GGCCGUGUAGCGCAGUGGAUAGCGCGUUGGACUUCUAAUCCAAAGGUCGAGGGUUCGAAUCCCUCCUCGGUCG
rfam:Sarcoptes scabiei Contig12154, whole genome shotgun sequence.